rnacentral:rRNA from 1 species
UACGUAGGGACCAAGCGUUGUUCGGAAUUACUGGGCGUAAAGCGCACGUAGGCGGACUAUUAAGUCAGGGGUGAAAUCCCGGGGCUCAACCCCGGAACUGCCUUUGAUACUGGUAGUCUCGAGUCCGGAAGAGGUGAGUGGAAUUCCGAGUGUAGAGGUGAAAUUCGUAGAUAUUCGGAGGAACACCAGUGGCGAAGGCGGCUCACUGGUCCGGUACUGACGCUGAGGUGCGAAAGCGUGGGGAGCAAACAGG